CCUACGGGAGGCAGCAGUAGGGAAUAUUGCUCAAUGGGGGAAACCCUGAAGCAGCAACGCCGCGUGGAGGAUGACGGUUUUCGGAUUUUAAACUCCUUUUGUUAGAGAAGAUAAUGACGGUAUCUAACGAAUAAGCACCGGCUAACUCCGUGCCAGCAGCCGCGGUAAUACGGAGGGUGCAAGGGUUACUCGGAAUCACUGGGCGUAAAGAGCGCGUAGGCGGGAUAGCAAGUCAGAUGUGAAAUCCUAUGGCUUAACCAUAGAACUGCAUUUGAAACUGUUAGUCUAGAGUAUGGGAGAGGUAGGUGGAAUUCUUGGUGUAGGGGUAAAAUCCGUAGAGAUCAAGAGGAAUACUCAUUGCGAAGGCGACCUGCUAGAACAUAACUGACGCUGAUGCGCGAAAGCGUGGGGAGCAAACAGGAUUAGAUACCCGGGUAGUC
rnacentral:rRNA from 1 species